rnacentral:rRNA from 1 species
CGCUCCUUGUAAAAUAUUUUUAAAUAUAAGGAGUCCUGCCUGCCCAGUGACAACGUUAAACGGCCGCGGUAUCUUGACCGUGCAAAGGUAGCAUAAUCAUUUGCCUUUUAAAUGGAGGCUGGAAUGAAUGGCAAGACGUAGUUUAAGCUGUCUCUUUUUUGUAUCUUGAAUUUAUCAUUCUCGUGAAGAGUCGGGGAUAUUUUCGUAGGACGAGAAGACCCUAUUGAGCUUUAGUAUACUAGUAAUUUAGGUAAUAAAAAUUUUUGAGUGCUAAUAAACUUUAACUUAGGGUUGUAAGUUUACGUCAAGAGUAGUGUUGCUGAUAGGUUUAAUACUUUAAUUGGGGCAAUUGCGGAGAAGAAAAAUCCUCCGUUUACAUUUUAAUGCAAAAAGUUACAUCUUUAGGAAUAAUAGUUAUGUAAGAUGAUCCACUACAUGUAGUGAGCAAAGGAAUAAGUUACCAUAGGGAUAACAGCGUAAUUUUCUUGGAGAGUUCAUAUUGAUAAGAAAGUUUGCGACCUCGAUGUUGGAUCGGGACAUCCAGGAAAUGCAGCAGUUUCCAAGGGUUGGUCUGUUCGACCAUUAAAGUCCUACGUGAUCUGAGUUCAGACCGGCGUAA